rnacentral:rRNA from 1 species
AGAGUUUGAUCCUGGCUCAGGAUGAACGCUGGCGGCGCGCCUAACACAUGCAAGUCGAACGGCACCUAUCUUCGGAUAGAAGCGAGUGGCGAACGGCUGAGUAACACGUGGAGAACCUGCCCCCUCCCCCGGGAUAGCCGCCCGAAAGGACGGGUAAUACCGGAUACCCCCGGGCGCCGCAUGGCGCCCGGGCUAAAGCCCCGACGGGAGGGGAUGGCUCCGCGGCCCAUCAGGUAGACGGCGGGGUGACGGCCCACCGUGCCGACAACGGGUAGCCGGGUUGAGAGACCGACCGGCCAGAUUGGGACUGAGACACGGCCCAGACUCCUACGGGAGGCAGCAGUGGGGAAUCUUGCGCAAUGGGGGGAACCCUGACGCAGCGACGCCGCGUGCGGGACGGAGGCCUUCGGGUCGUAAACCGCUUUCAGCAGGGAAGAGUCAAGACUGUACCUGCAGAAGAAGCCCCGGCUAACUACGUGCCAGCAGCCGCGGUAAUACGUAGGGGGCGAGCGUUAUCCGGAUUCAUUGGGCGUAAAGCGCGCGUAGGCGGCCUCUCAAGCGGGAUCUCUAAUCCGAGGGCUCAACCCCCGGCCGGAUCCCGAACUGGGAGGCUCGAGUUCGGUAGAGGCAGGCGGAAUUCCCGGUGUAGCGGUGGAAUGCGCAGAUAUCGGGAAGAACACCGAUGGCGAAGGCAGCCUGCUGGGCCGCAACUGACGCUGAGGCACGAAAGUGUGGGUAGCAAACAGGAUUAGAUACCCUGGUAGUCCACACUGUAAACGAUGAUUACUAGGUGUGGGGGGUCUAACCCCCUCCGUGCCGGAGUUAACACAAUAAGUAAUCCACCUGGGGAGUACGACCGCAAGGUUGAAACUCAAAGGAAUUGACGGGGGCCCGCACAAGCAGUGGAGUAUGUGGUUUAAUUCGACGCAACGCGAAGAACCUUACCAGGUCUUGACAUCCAACUAACGAAGCAGAGAUGCAUUAGGUGCCCUUCGGGGAAAGUUGAGACAGGUGGUGCAUGGUUGUCGUCAGCUCGUGUCGUGAGAUGUUGGGUUAAGUCCCGCAACGAGCGCAACCCUUGUGAUUAGUUGCUACGCAAGAGCACUCUAAUCAGACUGCCGUUGACAAAACGGAGGAAGGUGGGGACGACGUCAAAUCAUCAUGCCCUUUAUGACCUGGGCUACACACGUACUACAAUGGUCGUUAACAGAGGGAAGCAAUACCGCGAGGUGGAGCAAAACCCUAAAAACGGUCUCAGUUCAGAUUGUAGGCUGCAACUCGCCUACAUGAAGUUGGAAUUGCUAGUAAUCGCGGAUCAGCAUGCCGCGGUGAAUACGUUCCCGGGCCUUGCACACACCGCCCGUCA